rnacentral:sRNA from 6 species
AUAUCUCUCUGUACGGGAAGGAUGAGAAGCUUCGACUAAGGUUCGAUUCGAGCGCAGCGAGAAAGCGUUGCCGCAGGCAACGACCCGAAGGGCGAAGCGCGCAGCGCUGAGUCAUCCUUCCCCCACCAUCA